UACGAAGGGUGCAAGCGUUAAUCGGAAUUACUGGGCGUAAAGGGCGCGUAGGCGGCCUGUUAAGUCGGACGUGAAAUCCCUCGGCUCAACCGGGGAACUGCGUCCGAUACUGGCGGGCUUGAAUUCGGGAGAGGGAUGUGGAAUUCCAGGUGUAGCGGUGAAAUGCGUAGAUAUCUGGAGGAACACCGGUGGCGAAGGCGGCAUCCUGGACCGACAUUGACGCUGAGGCGCGAAAGCCAGGGGAGCAAACGGG
rnacentral:rRNA from 1 species